AAAUUACCCAAUCCUGAUUCAGGGAGGUAGUGACAAGAAAUAACAACUCGGGGCCUCACGGCUUACGAGAUUGCAAUGAGAACAAUUUAAAUCUCUUAGCGAGGAACAAUUGGAGGGCAAGUCUGGUGCCAGCAGCCGCGGUAAUUCCAGCUCCAAUAGCGUAUAUUAAAAGUUGUUGCAGUUAAAAAGCUCGUAGUUGAAUUUCUGAUUAUGGAUGUAGCGGUUUCCGUUACAUUUGUAGUCAUCCACAUGAGAACCUUUCUCGGCCUUCACUGGUCGGUUGGGGGAUCAUGUACUUUACUUUGAAAAAUCAGAGUGUUUCAGGCAGGCGUUUGCAUGAAUACACAAGCAUGGAAUAAUGGAAUAGGACUAGGGUCCAUUUUUAUUGGUUAUUGGACCAUAGUAAUGAUUAAUAGGGAC
rnacentral:rRNA from 1 species